UCAUUGUUAAAGUCUGUAGUCUA
rnacentral:miRNA from 1 species